rnacentral:lncRNA from 1 species
CCCGGUAUAGACACCAAUAGUAAUUGGGUAGUAGGAAUCCACUGAGACGAAGUGACUGUCUCAUCCCCCGCUUAUUUGAUUUCAGAUAAACAGGUUGAUCGAGAUAUCAUGGUCUGCAUGCAUGAAGUCCAGAUGCUUGGAUUAUGCUAGUUGAGUUGACUUCAUGUUAUCUUAUAUUGUGAAUAAGAUUUAGUUUAUUUAUGUUUUCAGUUGUUAGCUCAAUUUAGUAUUAAUCACUUGGAUUUUUGUAAUCCUAUUUAUGUAUUCGGACGAUAUGUAAUGAAAAUUUAAAGUUUCCCGGUUCAGUUAUGUACACUCUUGUUGAUAUUCUAGAUAAAUUGACAUGGGGUGUUAUAAAGUUAAAUUUUAAAUAAAAUACAAAAAAAAAAAUUGAAAAGGGUAUAUUUGGAAUAAAAAAAGGCUACACCAAAAGAAAUGUUUUCCUUUAUUAUUGUUAUAGAUUUCAGAUAAACAGGUUGAUCGAGAUAUCAUGGUUUGCAUGCAUGAAGUUCAGAUGCUUGGAUCAUGCUAGUUGAGUUGACGUCAUGUUAUCUUAUAUUGUGAAUAAGAUUUAGUUUCUUUAUGUUUUCAGUUGUUAGCUCAAUUUAGUAUUAAUCACUUGGAUUUUUGUAAUCCUAUUUAUGUAUUCGGACGAUAUGUAAUGAAAAUUUAAAGUUUUCCGGUUCAGUUAUGUACACUCUUGUUGAUAUUCUAGAUAAAUUGACAUGGGGUGUUAUAAAGUUAAAUUUUAAAUAAAAUACAAAAAAAAAUUG